rnacentral:pre_miRNA from 1 species
UUUGUACUCCCUCCGUUCCAAAUUACUUGUCACAAAAAUGGAUGUAUCUAAAACUAAAAUACAUCUAGAUACAUCCAUACCUGCGACAAGUAAUUCAGAAUGGAGGGAGUAGCAU